ensembl:lncRNA
UCCUCACUGAUUCAUCUGAUUUUACUUUAUUCAUCUGUUGGGUUUAUUUUUUGGUGCUUACACAUUAGAUCAAACUUCCACCAGCAUGUUUCUUGUGUACGCACAAACCAUCCAAGAAACCUGUUUUGUGGGUGAUGUCUAACACAUUUCCCUGCAAUUUCAGACAAACAUAUUUGGUAUCUUUGACUUGGUAUUUUUUUAAUUGACUUUUGUUGAAAUUUGAUUCAUUUUUUUAUUUUGGUCAACUGUGACACAUUUGUUUAUAGUAUUUGCAUAUCAUGAAUAUGACCAGAUCAAGUAAUUACUGUAGUUCUGAGAUGUUGUUGCAGUCUCUUGCUCACCUUGUAAACGUGACCUGCACUUGCGCUGCGGUGAGAUUCCUCUGUGUGCUGCUUACACAUUUCGAAGGAAGCGUUGAUAUUUGUUUGCUGUAAAUAAUUGGACCGUAUCCAGCAACAGGUGUUAAGAGUGAAAGUGAAUCACUGUUUACACAAUGAAAAAAGCAAACUCAUGCUGUCUUGUAUAAAUAUAUUUAAAAUCCUCAUUUAGUGGCUCAUAUAUGUUGGUAAUUGUUCUUGCUCAGGCUGCACCAAACUGGCUUCCUGCCUCUGAUUACUCAUUUUGGGAUUGAAACUUAAAAUACAUUUUAGAUUUUCUUAUUUCAACUGCUUUCCCGUUCAAAUUGGAAACAAAAAUCUUACGUCAAGAUAACUUGAGACGUGAAGCUUUUAUAUGAUAUCACUUUACAGCUUGUGUUACUCCUGAGUCAACACAAUUUCAAUGUUCAAUUUUGUGUAUUUGCAGUUUCUUUCUCAUUAGUUUCUUUGCAAAGUUCUCUCCGCUUUUUACCAUCAACAUUAAUGUUUUGUAACAACUUUUCUCAAUGCCAUAAAUCUACAUUCUGAAUUGUGGUUUCCUGUUUGUCUGCAACCAGGCUUGCUGGUUCACUCAUUUACACUUAUUUAUAAAAGGUGUAGUCAGCUUAUAGGAACACACCCUUCUCCUCAAUGUGGCCAUUCAUGAUGGCCAGACAAAUUAAACAACAAAUUCACACAAUAAUAAAUCCCAAUUCAUCCCAUGAGGGUAAAAAAGAAGAACAGCUGAUGAGAACAAAUGUCGCUGUGUUCACUGUUUGUGUUCACGAGGGAACAGUCAUCACUUAAAUCAAUUGAGACAUCACUAGGUUGCCAAAUUUUAUAGACAGAAAUUUAGGUUGCCAGGUCUGAUCUUUUGAGACGAGAGGUGUGGUCGAGACCCACUAAAGUGUGCUGUGGGAUGUUUCUGUGAUUAGGCUCUGUGUCUCUGUGUGUAUGGUCUUUGUUUUCAUGUGUGUGGUGUGUAUGUGUGGGAAUGGACCCUGGUCUGACUUGUUGAUUAAUGGCCAGUGUGUGUAUGUGUGAAAACGCUCUCAGUCCUGUUUCCAUGCUAAUGAGUAGCAGCAGAUGGGAGAGAGGAGACUCGACCAACAAUGAACAAACACACCAGCAGCCGCACAAUUUUAAAAAACCAAAGAGACCCUCCUGUUGGGUUUGUUUCCUCACAUACACCCUGAUAUUGUGCCUUUAGGCACAUGGACACUGAACGCACUCAUCUUCAUUCUGGAUGUGAUACGUGGCCAUUUUCUCUUAGAACCUAUUUGUAGCCUUUUAAUCAAAAGCCUUUUAAUCAAUAUCUUGUAAAGUCUGUUCCAGUUAUUAAAACAGGGUAAUGUUGCUUUUUAAGUACAUUUGUUUGGACUUAUACUUGCCUACCAAACAUUCAAAUAUAAAUGUGUAAACUGCAAUUUAAUUUUUUAUUAUGCAACAACACGGGUGCAAUAGUCAGGGGAGAAGUGCUGCUAACAGGGACUUUAAAAAGAGCGCAAUUGAAUGAUUUUUAUUUGCAAUAUCUCUGAGCUCAGCUUAAAAAGGACUCAAAUGUAAGGAACCGAAAUAUAAGUGUUGUUCUCUAGCAUGUAUGUGUGUAUGUUUGUGUGUGAUAACUGAUUGGAGGGGGGAGGGAAGAGGGACGACAGGAAGGGGGACUAUGUUGUGGAGAGGACCUGAGGACAUGAGGGAAGAGGGAACAAGAUGACGAAAUGAAGAACGCAUUCCGCGUCCAUGACAUCAUGCACAUAUAUCCAUUUAAUGAGUUUGGAGUUUGGGGAACUGUAUGUGUUGUAUGCGUUACCGUGGGUGUGAGCUAGUCUCUGAUAAUGGGCCCAUUUGAUUCUGUCCGUAUCCCUUGUGCCCUUGAGCGUGUGUGUGUGUGUCGCAUCCAGCACUGUGUGGUCCUCAGUCAUUUCCUUCAUUAAUCAGAGUUCAGAGUUCUGCUGUCACAUACUUGUGCAGAAUCAGGCUGUGACACAAAGGUCCCGUAAACAAUAUUCAGAGCAUUAAUAUAGCAGCAAACAACUGUUUCAGAGAUGUAGUGGCGUAAUGUCUACCUGAAUACAGAAUAAAGUCGCUCUCCUUCCAUGUGUGUGUAAACUGAGUUUGCAUGUGCAUGUUUGUGCAUGUAGGUCCCUGUUUGUUUGUGUGUUUGUUGUGCUAUUUGAAGCCGCAGUGCCCAAAACAGUAAUGCAGCUGCAUGACAUCAACCGAAAUAACUGUGUUAACCCGUCAGCUCCCUGAGUUCAGCUCUGUCAGCACUAUUAAUGUUUGCGCUAGUUGUGCUGCUGGGGCUACUUGAACUGAAUUAAACUAAAUACAGUUUGACAGCCACAAAUUUCUAAAGUGCCAGCCUCCCCGUUUCAAAAUCGCCUCAUUGUUAAGCUCGGCACAGCAAAAUUGAAAGGGUGUCAAUGUCAACGACGGCCCCAGAAGACCAACACAUUCAAGUUACAGGAUGCGACUGCUGACAAGCACCAGGCUAAUGCGCCUGAGUCAAACACAAACAAAUCACCGACUCACAGCCAAUGUAUGUACAAGGGUAGUGUGUGUGUGUGUGUGUGUGUGUGUGUGUGUGUGUGUGUGUGUGUGUGAUAGAGACUCCUGAGGAAUGCUCUCAGUGCUGUUGUAGUGGCCGUGAACAGGAAACGUAUUUCCAGAGACAGGAAGUAACUUCGUAGAGAGAGAGAGUGUUUGUCAGCAUCCCGCCCUCACUCUGCUGGAUGGGGAAAGAAGGAGAGAUGGUUGGAGUGAAUGUUGUGUGGGG